GCUUAAAGCUGAAUUAACAUGAUGAUUUUAAAUUUGUAUUGUUUAUUUCUUGUCAUUGCGACUUUGACACAGCUGUUGUCAUGACAACAGAUAACAAAACAUGUUUUGUUGAAGGAUUAUUGAUGAAUAAUUUUCCACAAAAAAUUAGAUUUUAACCACGAUAGGAAAAUGAGAACCUGCGCCUAUCCGUUUAAACCGAUUGUAGAAUUUAUGGAAAGAUAUGGCGAUCUGAGUAUGCCCACUGAAGGGCCCCAAGAAAGAGCCAACGAUAGUCAACGGUGGGUGGAACUAACGGACACGCGAACGUGAAAUGCUGAUGCCACCGGCGACACGAAAACUACUGAGAAAUUGAGAAAAGUGUGGAGUGACUUUAAACAGCAAGAAGAAGGCAACUCGCAUACACAGAGCUGCCAAGGGAACACUGGACUGGUGGCGGUCCAGGUUCUUCCCUGAAGCCAAAGGAUUUAGAGCAGAGUGCUUGUAAAUAACUACUUGUAAAUUAAAUCCAUAAUAAAGACCUAGGGUAACUGGAUGGAUAUACCUACCUUAUUAUUGUAAAACUUAAGAUAUUAUAAUUAAUUAAAUACA